rnacentral:rRNA from 1 species
UACGUAGGGUGCGAGCGUUGUCCGGAAUUAUUGGGCGUAAAGGGUAGGUAGGUGGUUACGUAUGUCUGGGGUGAAAUCCCUGAGCUCAACUCAGGAAGUGCCUUGGAAACGGCGUAACUAGAGUGCUAGAGAGGUUCGUAGAAUUCCCAGUGUAGCGGUGAAAUGCGUAGAGAUUGGGAGGAAUACCAGAGGCGAAGGCGGCGAACUGGAUAGCAACUGACACUAAACUACGAAAGCGUGGGGAGCAAACAGG